AUCAAAUAAAUGCAAGUAGGGAUAACUGCAGGCUUGAGCAAUGGGCGUGCUGAGAGGUAGGGGGCGUGCCAAAAUGUUUCUCAUUGGCCAAAGGAGCUUCUGCGUUGGCCAAUCAGCGGUAACCAUACUUUUACAAAACAUGGCGGCGGUAAGAUGGUGGUAAUUAUUUUCCUUCGCACAGUAUUUUUCAAUUUUAGUAAUUAUUUAACUGUUGUUGACAGACACGUUACUGUGAGACAAAGCAAUGACUGUAUUUGCAUCGAAGCUUGUAUCGAUGUUCAUUUCGUGCAACCAAUGUUUUUAAAAGAUAUGAAAGACAAGAUACUUGGACAUUUUGCGCAGCUCAUCGUGAACGUAAGAAUAUUUGAUGAAAUCCACGUUGAGAUAAUUUGUUAAUGUGAUAACGUGAAUGGCGAUGUUACAUUUAAAAUCGUAUCAUGAUACGUACGUCAAACAUAGUUUGCUUUAUGUUUAUUUUUACUAUUUUAAAGUGUGUCUGUUGUUCUGCUGUUAUAGAUUUAUUUUUUAUUGAAAAUGUGACAAAUUCAAAAAUAUGACAGAAGACAUAACAGAAAAUAGAGGCAAACAAAUAUACAAAAUAAAUAUAAAAAAUACACAAAAAACAAAGAGAAAUGUAUAAAUACAUAUAGAAUGUGUAGUGCAAACAUAUUCCACAGCCUUUCGAUAUAUAGGAGAGAAGAGUAUAUAAAAAAAUAAUAAUAAUACUAAAAUACAUUUGUAAUAUAUACUGUUACUACUAAUAAUAAUAUCCAGUUGUAACAUAUUGUGUAACAUACAUUGUGCACAAUUUUACUGUAGUUUGUAUUAAAUUUUUACGACAGGUUGAUGUUUCUGCACAAAACUGCAUUCUAUUUCCAUCAUGGAUGAAGUCACACUGGAUGGUUUGUGUAAGUCAUAAUUAAGACAUUUUUGAUGAUUCAGUUUUUUGUUUUUUUUUAAAUUUGCUAUGCAAGAAUAGUCUAAGUGAUGGCAGAUACAGUCCAAGUGUACAGGUCUUUUACAUACAAGUUCAGUAGUUCAUGUUCGGAAAUACCAGUUGAACAGUUCUUUUUCAAAUGUUCUCAACUGCUGUCUGGUUGUUCUGUUCUAAAUCAUUCAGUGUUUUUAUUUUCCUUUUCUGUUUUUGUGUCUUGGUGGCUCUUAUGGGAAUGAUGAUGUCUGAAGUGUAUUGUCAUUUUUAAAGCUGAAAAUUUAAAUGUGAUAUGCAUAUUUAAAUGUAAUAUUCAUAUUAAUUUUAAUAACAGAGACAAUGUAAAACACGUACUGUAGUGCUGUUACUAAAGAUUCAUUUACAGUUGCCUAAUGUUGCUGACCUUUGUGAAUUUGGGUACAUUUAAUAGGAGGGUUGCUCAGACAAUUUUUUCUGGACAUUGGACUGAGUUACCCUGUAAAGAUCUUCCAGUCUCCUUAAGAACAAAAAGUUGAAGGCUCGGGCAACCAUGGCCUAACGGCAGGGAUAGUAGGUGAAGGGAGUGAAUGUACAGUACUCUUUUCCACCUUCAAUACCAUGACUGAGCCAUGGACCCAUCAGGAAGUCAUGCUGAUGUACGAUUGAAUAUUACUUAUAUAUGUUAUAUGAUUCACAGAUUUAUAAAUGUGCUUUAGAAAAAUUACUGGUAUGCGUCUUGAGACAAAACAAAGGCACUGAUAUAUUUUAAGAUCAGUCAGUGCAAAUGUCUUUCAGUUGAAACAGCUCAGAUUUACAUUUUAGUCUGAGACUAGGCUUAAGCCUUGUCUGUGAAACCGGGGGUAUAUGUUUUUUCUUUAUUCCAGCUCCCGUCAGACCUGCUAAAACAGAUUCAUCUGGAUGUUGUGUAUGAAGAAGGAUGCUGGAUACUGUGGCAUCAGAAAAAAUGGGAUUUUCACAGCGCUCUAUUCCAACAGAGUGUUUGAUGGCUUCUGUUCUAUGGACUGCUACUACAGCAUGGAUGUAUAAAUUGAUGGAUUCAUGAAUUUGGGUGGGAUUUUUAUUUAUCUAUUUAUUUUUUUGUGUAUACAAGCUGAAACUGAAUAAA